AGUGAACGCUGGCGGCAGGCCUAAUACAUGCAAGUCGAACGGCAGCACAGUGGAGCUUGCUCCAUGGGUGGCGAGUGGCGGACGGGUGAGGAAUACAUGGGAAUCUGCCCAGUCGUGGGGGAUAACGUAGGGAAACUUACGCUAAUACCGCAUGCGCCCUUCGGGGGAAAGCCGGGGACCUUCGGGCCUGGCGCGAUUGGAUGAGCCCAUGUUCGAUUAGCUAGUUGGCGGGGUAAAGGCCCACCAAGGCGACGAUCGAUAGCUGGUCUGAGAGGAUGAUCAGCCACACUGGGACUGAGACACGGCCCAGACUCCUACGGGAGGCAGCAGUAGGGAAUAUUGGACAAUGGGCGCAAGCCUGAUCCAGCCAUGCCGCGUGAGUGAAGAAGGCCCUCGGGUUGUAAAGCUCUUUUGUCCGGGAAGAAAAGCAACGGGCUAAUACCUCGGUGUUCUGACGGUACCGGAAGAAUAAGCACCGGCUAACUUCGUG
rnacentral:rRNA from 1 species